rnacentral:lncRNA from 1 species
GUUGUUUUCACAUUUGACAUUCAUUGGCUGGGAAUGAAAAAUGAAUGUUGGACCUUUGAACACAGAUUUCCUUCCUUUUUCAAGAAUUCCUAAGCAUUCUAACUUACCC